rnacentral:lncRNA from 1 species
GAGUUGCUUCGACGAAGUCACACACCCACGGAGGGAAGUAAUCUGGAGGCUGCCUUGGCAUUUUUAGUGAUGUGUGGCCUCACCACUUAAAUCCAGUUUAUUGAAUCUGAAGUGAUUUGCUCCUCUUUCUGGACUACACAAUAAACACCCUCCAACGUCCCCAGCCAUGCUCUUCCCAUCAUUUGGCUGAAAGGGGAGGAAUUCAAGGCCUUAGAGUGGGGAAGCUACAAUUUGGAAGAAUCCUGGAAGCACAGAUUACCCUGUGAAGCAGCAUCCCCAUGAGGGUCUCUUUCUUCUGUGAUAUAAGCAAGAAAUAAAUGAAUUGUGCAAAUC